UGGAAUGGAGAAAGGAGAAAAUUGGGAAAGGAAUGGGAAAGAAUUGAUCACUUAAAUCCAUUGUAUUGGGGCGGGCUCUACUUACUGCCCAACCCUAGUAAACACUGAAAAGCAAUGCCUGGGCUGUGCUAUAUUAGGGCCUUGUGGGACAGCUCCUCCUUUAGUUAGGUGGAUGGGGGGGGUAGUUGUUGUAAUGAGAGUUUUUAGGUCUUAUUUGUUGACAUCUUUUCCCCCCAGGAAAUCUGCAGCUCAAUGGGGAGAAGAAAUAGAAUACUUCCCAACGGGAAGAAGAUGGACAUUCAGUGAAAGAGGCGAAUUCCAUUUAUUACUAAUGAAAAGACCAGAGCUAAACAAAAAAUUUGACCUCCAAAUACAGAACUCAAGAGAAGCAUAAAAAGACUAGACCCGCUGCUUGGCAGAAGGCUCUGCCAACAGGCCCUGGGGGACCUCAGCCCGAGUCGACUUCACCACAUGGCGCCCUGGUGUGGAAAAGAAAACUAAACUCAAGUACCUGACUAAAUAUCUAUCCUCCACAGAAUUGGCCCCACUACAAGCAGAAGCUUCCACCAAUGGGCCAAGGUGCUCCUCUUCCUCAUUCGACCUCAUUUCUUUAUCAUAUAUUGGGUGAAAAAAAAAAAAAAGAAAGAAAACCAAACACACUGACUCACCUCAACCCCCCCAGGAUGAAUGUGUGCCCUUCAGAGACUUGGCCCCAACACUUGGCAGAAACCCUUGCCAACAGGCCAAAAGGUCCUCUUCCCCAAUAGAACAGAAGGCAUUGUGCCAUCUGGAAAAAAGAUCCCCCCCAAGCACACUAACUCCCCUCAACAUCCAGGCUAAAUGUGGGUCCUCCAUAGACAGGACUUCUGCAGGGCUCCUGCCUGGCAGAAAGCUCCACCAAGGGGCCAGGGCUCUCCUUCCCCAGUCGAUCUCAGCACAUUUUCCCUGAAAACUUGGGAGAACGGAUGCCUCCCAUAAACCUCCAGCAUUCACCAUGGUGCCAGCAGCUGGGCCAGACUGGGUAGUCCCAACCCCUGGAAGAGGCCGGUCUCUGGGCUGACCAAUGACCUCCCCUGCCUGCCAUGAGAGGUCAAACAGGAAGCCACCCCACUCCUGUCAGCUCCCUCUUCCCUCAGGCUGUAGCACUUGCCUGCCCCAGGCUUUAGGGACUCCCGCCAAAGGCCCCAGGAAGAAGAGGCUCAGCCACCCUUACAAAGGAAAAUUGCAAACACCAGUCCAUCUUGUUCACCAGAUAGAUGAUGUGGAAAUUGAGAAUCAAGAAUUGCCAAUUGAACAUGAAGUUUCAGCCAACAUUGUUCCCCAGGUCUCUGGGUCACUGGAUGCCCAGUGUUUGCUCAGUAUCUUAAACAUUUAAAAAUUGAAUAAAAUUUAAUUUUUUUAAUGUUU